rnacentral:rRNA from 1 species
AUCUUGGGAAAUUUCAUCGUGAUGGGGAUAGAUCAUUGCAAUUGUUGGUCUUCAACGAGGAAUGCCUAGUAAGCGCGAGUCAUCAGCUCGCGUUGACUACGUCCCUGCCCUUUGUACACACCGCCCGUCGCUCCUACCGAUUGAAUGGUCCGGUGAAGUGUUCGGAUCGCGGCGACGAGGGCGGUUCGCCGCCCCCGACGUCGCGAGAAGUCCAUUGAACCUUAUCAUUUAGAGGAAGGAGAAGUCGUAACAAGGUUUCCGUAGGUGAACCUGCGGAAGGAUCAUUG